UACGAAGGGGGCUAGCGUUGCUCGGAAUCACUGGGCGUAAAGGGUGCGUAGGCGGGUCUUUAAGUCAGGGGUGAAAUCCUGGAGCUCAACUCCAGAACUGCCUUUGAUACUGAAGAUCUUGAGUCCGGGAGAGGUGAGUGGAACUGCGAGUGUAGAGGUGAAAUUCGUAGGUAUUCGCAAGAACACCAGUGGCGAAGGCGGCUCACUGGCCCGGUACUGACGCUGAGGAGCGAAAGCCAGGGGAGCAAACGGG
rnacentral:rRNA from 1 species